UACGAAGGGGGCUAGCGUUGCUCGGAAUCACUGGGCGUAAAGGGUGCGUAGGCGGGUCUUAAGUCAGGGGUGAAAUCCUGGAGCUCAACUCCAGAACUGCCUUUGAUACUGAGGAUCUUGAGUUCGGGAGAGGUGAGUGGAACUGCGAGUGUAGAGGUGAAAUUCGUAGAUAGUCGCAAGAACACCAGUGGCGAAGGCGGCUCACUGGCCCGAUACUGACGCUGAGGCACGAAAGCGUGGGGAGCAACAGGG
rnacentral:rRNA from 1 species